rnacentral:rRNA from 1 species
GAUGAACGCUAGCGGCAGGCUUAAUACAUGCAAGUCGAACGGUAAGUUUGGUAGCAAUACUGAACCAAGAGUGACGUACGGGUGCGUAACACGUAUGCAACCUACCCAAAACAGGAGGAUAGCUCGGGGAAACUCGAAUUAACCCUCCAUAAAAUCAUAGAGUAGCAUUACUUAGUGAUUAAAACUCCGGUGGUUUUGGAUGGGCAAGCGUCUGAUUAGUUAGUUGGCGGGGUAAUGGCCCACCAAGACGAUGAUCAGUAGGGGAACUGAGAGGUUGAUCCCCCACACUGGCACUGAGAUACGGGCCAGACUCCUACGGGAGGCAGCAGUAGGGAAUAUUGGUCAAUGGAUGCAAGUCUGAACCAGCCAUGCCGCGUGCAGGAAGAAGGCGUUAUGCGUUGUAAACUGCUUUUGCCAGGGGAUAAAAUAACCUUGCGAGGUUAAUUGAAGGUACCUGGUGAAUAAGCCACGGCUAACUACGUGCCAGCAGCCGCCGUAAGAC